rnacentral:rRNA from 1 species
CUGCGAUAAGCGCCGGUAAGGUGAUAUGAACCGUUAUAACCGGCGAUACCCGAAUGGGGAAACCCAGUGUGACUCGUCACACUAUCAUUAACUGAAUCCAUAGGUUAAUGAGGCGAACCGGGGGAACUGAAACAUCUAAGUACCCCGAGGAAAAGAAAUCAACCGAGAUUCCCCCAGUAGCGGCGAGCGAACGGGGAGGAGCCCAGAGCCUGAAUCAGCAUGUGUGUUAGUGGAAGCGUCUGGAAAGGCGCGCGAUACAGGGUGACAGCCCCGUACACAAAAGCGCAUGUGCUGUGAGCUCGAUGAGUAGGGCGGGACACGUGGUAUCCUGUCUGAAUAUGGGGGGACCAUCCUCCAAGGCUAAAUACUCCUGACUGACCGAUAGUGAACCAGUACCGUGAGGGAAAGGCGAAAAGAACCCCGGCGAGGGGAGUGAAAAAGAACCUGAAACCGUGUACGUACAAGCAGUGGGAGCACAGGUUUACCUGUGUGACUGCGUACCUUUUGUAUAAUGGGUCAGCGACUUAUAUUCUGUAGCAAGGUUAACCGUAUAGGGGAGCCGCAGGGAAACCGAGUCUUAACCGGGCGUUAAGUUGCAGGGUAUAGACCCGAAACCCGGUGAUCUAGCCAUGGGCAGGUUGAAGGUUGGGUAACACUAACUGGAGGACCGAACCGACUAAUGUUGAAAAAUUAGCGGAUGACCUGUGGCUGGGGGUGAAAGGCCAAUCAAACCGGGAGAUAGCUGGUUCUCCCCGAAAGCUAUUUAGGUAGCGCCUCGUGAAUUCAUCUCCGGGGGUAGAGCACUGUUUCGGCUAGGGGGCCAUCCCGGCUUACCAACCCGAUGCAAACUGCGAAUACCGGAGAAUGUUAUCACGGGAGACACACGGCGGGUGCUAACGUCCGUCGUGAAGAGGGAAACAACCCAGACCGCCAGCUAAGGUCCCAAAGUCAUGGUUAAGUGGGAAACGAUGUGGGAAGGCCCAGACAGCCAGGAUGUUGGCUUAGAAGCAGCCAUCAUUUAAAGAAAGCGUAAUAGCUCACUGGUCGAGUCGGCCUGCGCGGAAGAUGUAACGGGGCUAAACCAU